rnacentral:rRNA from 1 species
GUUGUGAGGUUAAGCGACCAAGCGUACACGGUGGAUGCCCUGGCAGUCAGAGGCGAUGAAGGACGUGCUAAUCUGCGAAAAGCGCCGGUAAGGUGAUAUGAACCGUUAUAACCGGCGAUGUCCGAAUGGGGAAACCCAGUGUGACUCGUCACACUAUCAUUAACUGAAUCCAUAGGUUAAUGAGGCGAACCGGGGGAACUGAAACAUCUAAGUACCCCGAGGAAAAGAAAUCAACCGAGAUUCCCCCAGUAGCGGCGAGCGAACGGGGAGGAGCCCAGAGCCUGAAUCAGCAUGUGUGUUAGUGGAAGCGUCUGGAAAGGCGCGCGAUACAGGGUGAG